UGUUUGGACUUCGUAUGUUUAAAAAUACUGUUUUUAUGAUAAGUCGAUUUCCGUUAAUUUUAACAAUGUAUAUAUUUGAAAAACAUGAACAUCUAUCAGCGUUCCUACGUGAAGGUUGUUCGAUGAUGACACGAUGAAACAUUACGAUUACCUUGACCAGAAAAGUAACAACGUGAGUGAGUAGUUUUGCCGCGACCGAUCGUUGAUUUCCCCAAUAAUAAUAUGCGUUGCAGUGGUUAUCGCUGUUUUGCUCGUCUUUCCUAUCCGCGUUACAAUUCGAUGAAUGUUUUCAUGUACAAGUCAGAAGGCGACUUUCAAGCAGCAUUGAGUAAUCCUGAAAAUUAAAGAUUACUCAAUACGGCCGGAUCGAUUGCGUUCCACGCUCAUUUUCUCUUCCUAUAGUGUUUUUCCUAUUGGAUUUUUCCACGUGUAAUGUAACCCGUGAUUGAUAAUACACCUCGAGACACAGUAUCAUUGUUCUUAUUAAACAAAUGUUUUCCAACUACCGUUCUCGAUAUAUGUAUUAUGCUGUACGCGUAUGCAAUAUUAUUUAGAUUCAAUUUAGAAAACUGUAUUAUAUGGUAUAGUAUGCAUUAAUAUACUGUAUACAAAUAAUACAAUCUCCAAUUUCUGGUUUGUUCUUUCUCUCUUUUUUUAAAUCUGCUGCUGCAAAUAGUUGCACUAUCAUUCUGCGCUUUCAAUCUAGUCUCUAGCGAGCAGAAAACGAAUUCUACCGUUGCCGCACGGUUGUACGGUUUUUUGUACAGUUCGCGUCCGCUUUCUAAACCACUCUCUGCUUCGUUAUGAAUUUACGAACGCUUAUUCACGUAACGCGAGUGUUACCUAUCUUCCCACAAUGUAACUGGUCGCAACGAGCACAGACCUGACAACACACCGUUAUUUGCGAAUCGUAUCAUACCGUACACGUGAUCAGCAUCUACGUGGGUGCCGCAAAUCCUGUUCCACAAGAUUCUAACCCGCGCUUUAUAAUCGUAACGCGCCUCUGUCGUAAACAGUAUCGUUAUACGUUAUUAUCACGGUAACACGUUCUUUGUUGCUGCCUGGUUAUCGCGGUUUAUCCAAUAUACGAACAGUGUCUGAAUACCUUAUUCAGACACAUAUAGAUAAUUUUUAUGAAUAUAUAAUUUGCAAAAUAUAAAUAUGUAUACGAACGCUUUUGUAAUUCCAUUAGCAGUGUAAUGAAACACGACUAGUGUGAUUAUAUUGGGGAAAUUUAGGAUCAAUUUUAAAAUGUAUAUCUUGGCUCAAAAAUCUUGGUAUUGAACAAGCGCGGAUUAACUGAGAAAAUAUACAUAUACUAGACUGAGAUACGUAGUGCUACGUAGAAAUUUGGCUGCACGUGGCAAGAAUGUGUGCCAUGUGUGUGAAAUCAUUAAUGCAGUCUGAUCGACAUGGGAAAAAGAUCUAGUUGACGCGCUAUCCCGGAGGACGAGGUGGAUAUUUGGGCCAUGACCAGGUUGCGAUCAAUAUAGCGUCCCGUCGGCAAACCAUCGACGAAAGUCCGCCAACAAAGUCGGGGACGACCCUUAUGUACACCCUGUGUGCGAAAUGGAUUCAUUCUAUACCAAUGCAAGUGCGUGGAACGCGCCGUAAAAGGGAAGAACGCGUCCCUUCUCUCAGCCAUGUUUCACUGCGAUACACGGAUGAUCAUCGAUUUGCUGAUACCUUGUCGUUAUUCCAUCGGUUAUUAUCGAAACAAAGCUACGUAUUCAUUACGCGUCCAUUAUCAACCAUAUCGCCUUUGUCCCACGGGUUUUUGUCUUUCCAGGAAAUGAUCACAAUUCGCUAUUUGCCAUUAAAACAAACAGAUGCUAAUAGAUUCGCUUCCGUGACAUUUCAGCGAAUAGUUACAAGUCGACAAGAGUAUCCCUUCGAUACGUAGAACAAAUCGAAUUUUAUAGAGCCCUCGGUUCUUGGGUGUUUUCCGGGUAAAUUCAUCCCUCGCGCGAUUACGUUUCCCUCGAGCUCGAACCACAUCAGCGUAUCGCCUAUCGUUCGUUCAAUUUUUUCUGGACGCGUCGAGCAAUUCGCAAAUGACUUGUAAAUAAUUUUCGGAACCCUGAACAAGGGCCUUUGUGAUAAUUUACAUAAACGAUUAUCGAUCCGUUGUAACGUAGCAUCGUCUUAACGCGCGUCCUGCGCUCCUGUUUUCUUUCUG
rnacentral:lncRNA from 1 species